GUAGUUUAUAGACAUAUAUUUUUAUUAACUAAAUUUAAACAUCUGAUAGGUAAGCUUUCAGAAUAUAGAUAAAUGAUAGUAUUCAAAAGAAAAAGCAGUUUAAAUUUUGAUAAAAAGAAUAAUUAAAAAAAAAUUGAUCAAUAAACUUCAAAUUAUUUAAAUAACUUUUUAAACUUUUUAAAAACAAUUACGUACAGUUAAGUCAAUUUUUUCAACUAACAAACUUUUUGAUAUCAGUUACAAAGAUAUUAAAAAAUUAAUUUGCAGUUGAAAUACCAUUGGUAUAAAAAUGUGGCAGUUAGAUAAUGUGACAAAAUAUUUCCGCUUCAAAAUAAGCUGUCCUACAUAUUAAAGUAAUGACAAAUUUAAAUUUGAUGUCACAUCUCCAUCUACAAUGGUAUAAAAAGAAUACACUUUUUACCACACGUCGAUAUGUUAUAAGGUUAAAAUAAUUUGUUUUUGACAUAAAACAUAUUCAGCUACAAUCCACCAAUAAAUGAAUGUCUAAUUACGCUAAAAACAAAAAUAAAAUGAGUUAAAUAUUAAAUAAGUCCAUAAGAGCUAAUGUAUUUGUAGCACCUAUUCGAACACUUGCGCCUCUAGCGGCGAUUGCUGAAAGUUGAAUUAGAGGUUGAAAAGUUAGCCCACAAACGAUGCAUUGCGUUUCCACUCCUUCUUACAGGUCUCCAUAGUCAUCACAUUUCAUUUUCAUAACAUAACCGAUAACCUAAAAAUUUAGUAAAGUAAAAAUUUUGAUUGGAAAAAAGUGCAUCGAUAAGGGGGUGUGGGAAAUGGAAAUUAGUGGCUUUUUUGCUGUACUGUCUGCUAGUUUUUGCUCUGGGCUCUGGCUAGAUCUCUUGUUUAAACAAUUUUAAUCAGCUGAAAGUGGCCUACAAAAAAAAACCAAGAAGGAAAUGUAUAGCCUUGUGGCUAUGAAAGGCAAAAGAGAGAUAUAAAAAGUGUAUUGGCUAGUUGGAAGAAAGUCCACAUUGUCCAUGCAUAAUAAGUUAUUACUUUAUCAACAAAUAUCAAGAAGAUAGCAGGGUCACGAGCAUCAACUUCAUAAGUUCAAGAAUAUCGAGGAAAUCCAGCUCCUCGAUACUACUGGGCAAACUAGAAGAUUGAAGAGGACAAAUCCUUUUGAACUAGUUUGAGUGAUAGGUGAUAGUGAAAAACGGAGCAUAGUGCUUGUGUGCUGUGCCUGUGUAUGUUAGAAUAAUAGUGCACGAUCUUGUUAGAUUAGAUAAGAGACGCUAUGGGGUAAGCUCUUCAUUUUAAGAAAAAGUAGUAAUUUAGGUUAAAUUAAAAUUGCUCAUUGGUCAGUUAUGACCAGAUUGUUUUUUUAUGUUUGGCAAACAGGACUUAAGUCAGAAUUGCACAUUGAUAAUGUUUUGAUGAUUUCUGCACCAGAAAAAAACUGUUGUAGAUGUAAACUGUAUGUACAGUAGAAUCUACUACAGUACUGUAGAAAUCAUCAAAACAUUAUCGAUGUGCAAUUCUGACUUAAGCCCUUUUUCCCAAACAUCAGAGAAUUGUACAAUAAUUCUCCUAUCUGCUUUUUCAUGAAUUUUGUAGGAGACGAAAAACCAUUUUUAGGAUCAUCUGCUUUCACAUGUAAAUUUUGACAUGUUUUGUAGUAAAUAGAUAGUUGAAUUUACUACAAAACAUGUCAAAAAAUAUAUGAAAACAGGAGGUGACUAUAAAAAAAGUUUUUAGUCUCUCUUACAAAACUCAUGAAAAAACAAAUCGGAGGUAUGUCACAUCAGUGACUAAGAAUGUCUAAAAAAUAUACUUUGAUGUCCCAAGAACCAAAUAUAACCUACAGUCCAUCUAAUUUACUUACUGUUCCACGUCAUUAUCUACGCCAGAGAUCUAAGUUGACAUAGUUGCCAAGUAUAAAAAGAUCCUGAAUCCAUUUUAAAUCAAAUAUGUCACAUAAUUAUUGUAAACGUGGAUUAUACAACAAAACAAAUUAAUAUUCAAUGUAAAUAAGUAAAAACUUAAGAAAUAGAGAACAAGAAUUAAGUUAUAAUCUUUUAAGAUUUGCAGUGCAAGAGUUUUUGCACUGCAUUGUUAAUAAUUAAAAAACGGCUCCGAACUCUUGGCAAAAAGCCGGUAGGUUUCUUUGUAUAAGUAUGUCUACAAUAACAACUAAAAAAGUUGUCAGAUACCUCGAUUAUUCCAAGUCGUUAUAAAAUUAGGUGAAAUUUAUAUUUUUUAUAGUAGAGGAUCUUUUUAUAGUAAAGUAAAUAAUAAAAACAGUAAAUAUAAUAAAUAAAACAGAUACUUAUAGUAAAGAAUAUAAACAAAUAUGAAGUGUCAUCACCGUAACUGUCAAAUAAAUGUUACCAAUUUAUUCUAAAAUGUCACCUUCGUUCGAUUACAGUUACAGUGUGAUCCGAACAAAUCUGCUUCAUAAAAACGCUUUAUAAUCCAUUUAUACAAAUAAAUGAAACAUAUUAUUGUGUAUUUCUUUAGGUUAACAUUAAUAGAAAUCUUCAAAUAUUAUUUCUACGCGUAUAUAAUAAAAUAUGUCUAGUGGCUGUAAUUCCAGUGUACUCGGCAAAGUGAUUCUAAAAAAGAACACACCUACCGCCUAAAUAUUUCGUGUUGGUAUCAUGCGACCUCACAGGCUACGACGUGGAUGACGCGCAACAGUUAGUAAAUUAGACGAAGUAUGUAGAUAUAUACAGGGUGU